GGUCGCCACGUGGAGGACAGCUUUCCUGGAGAGGGACUGAGCUCACAUCAGACACCAUGGGGCACGUUGGAGCUGCUGGAUGCAGCUGAGAUAGAGAGAGAGAGAGAGAGGUGAGAGAGAAGCAGGCACUACAGAAGGCAGAAUGGAGAAACAGAGAA
rnacentral:lncRNA from 1 species